rnacentral:misc_RNA from 1 species
AACGCACAUUGCGCCCAUUAGUAUUCUAGUGGGCAUGCCUGUUCGAGCGUCAUUUCAACCCUUAAGCCCUCGUUGCUUAGCGUUGGGAGCCUACGGCCGAAUAGCCCUAGCUUCUCAAAAUCAGUGGCAGAGCUGGUUUCACACUCUAGACGUAGUAAUGCUUCAUCUCGUCUGUGGUUGGGCCGGUUUCUCGCCGUAAAACGCCCCUUUUAGAAAGUUGACCUCGGAUCAGGUAGGAAUACCCGCUGAACUUAA